GUGAGGAAUAUUGGACAAUGGGCGCAAGCCUGAUCCAGCCAUGCCGCGUGAGUGAUGAAGGCCUUAGGGUUGUAAAACUCUUUUAGUGGGGAAAAUAAUGAUGGUACCCACAGAAAAAGCUCCGGCUAACUUCGUGCCAGCAGCCGCGGUAAUACGAAGGGAGCUAGCGUUACUCGGAAUCACUGGGCGUAAAGCGCAUGUAGGCGGAAUGCUAAGUCAGAGGUGAAAGCCCUGGGCUCAACCCAGGAAUUGCCUUUGAAACUGACAUUCUUGAGUAUGACAGAGGAUAGUGGAAUUUCCAGUGUAGAGGUGAAAUUCGUAGAUAUUGGAAAGAACACCAGUGGCGAAGGCGGCUAUCUGGGUCAUAACUGACGCUGAGAUGCGAAAGCGUGGGGAGCGAACGGGAUUAGAUACCCUGGUAGUCC
rnacentral:rRNA from 1 species